UAUUGAAUUAAUACCAGCACUAACGUACUGGAUCCCAUCAGAACUCCGAAGUUAAGCGUGCUUGGGCGAGACUAGUACUAGAAUGGGUGACCCCCGUGGGAAUGUUUGUCACGAC
rnacentral:rRNA from 2 species